AUCUUUUGAUUAAAUCUUAAAGAAGGUAUAGUGUUAACUUAUUUUGUAUAGCAGAAAUUGCAUCAUGAAGAAUGAAUAUAAAACAGAAUUAAUUGCAUAUUUACCUUAUUUCUUUGGUUGUACCUUUCAUCAUUAUGAUGCAGUCGAUUUCUUUGACGUGAACAGCUUUGCAAUCUAGCUUCAUGCGUUUGUUAUUUUUCUUUCUGUCGAUAAUUUGUUUCCUCUUCAUCCGAGCUUUUGCAGGUCCAUUGUUUUGUAGAUCCUCUUCUGAGUCACUAAAAUUUAUUUCAAUUGAUUAGUCAUGUCGUGAUUUAGAUGAUAAUUGUAUUUUAAAGACUUUACCUUCCAUUAUCGUGAUUUAUUUUUUCCUGAAAACUUGUGAAAUUCAGUUGUAAGUAAUCACGUAAAAUAUAUUGCAGAUUGAAUGUGGUGUCAAAAGAGGAGAAUUGAAAUAGUGUAACCAAGUUUUUACCUUGUUUCUUUCGUGUAAUUGUAUUUUUGCUCUCUUUGAUCGAUAGUCUGUAGCCCUGAAAGAUUGAUGUAGCCUGUGUUCUUUAUCCAUAAUGUAGGACGUUAUGAAGUCUGUGAAGAAAGCACGUAUGAUUUGUAGACUUAGAAUAACAAAAUCAUGAUAUUAUGUACCUAAUACGCUAUUCUUUAGAGAAGUUAUUAUGUACCUAAUACUAUUUAUUGCAUUUGCAUGAUUGGACUUAAUGGUCUGUAGGUUAUGUUAGCUGCUGCAGUUCCUACUACUCAAUGAUUGGUGAUCUAGAGCAGUAUGAUCUUGUAUUUUGUUUUGUCCUGAAACUAAUAUUUGCCAAUUAUUCCUGCUUUUGCUUAAAUUUCAUACAUAUUACCCCCAAUUAGUAUUUUGCAAUAAUAUUUUCUAAAAAUGUUUUAAAUUACAACAGCUAAAUUAUGUAAUGUUGGGUGAUCUAGUUAGAAUUAACACAUGUCUCCAAUUGAAUCAUCUGGACAAUAUGAAACGUCAUAAGCUACCCAUCCUUCAUAUAAAUAUCUGUAUAUUAUUUUAAGGAUUAGAAAAAAAGCACAGAGGAAAGCACCUGUCAGGUUUUUUGGAUGAAGAUAUUUGAUCAUAUCUGUCCUGCUAGAUUCUUUAUGGUUAAUAUUUCAUUUGAUUCUUCAGAUCAGGUAUUAAUGCUAAAUAUCUGCAUAUUAUUUUAAGGGUAGUGAAGGUUUAAUGUUGUAUUGAUAAAUAAAAUAAAAUGAACAUAUAUGACUGUAGUGAAUGUAUAUUUUACAUAUAUUGACUCAAAAAGAUAUGAAAUAAAGGGCACUGCAUUAUUAAUGCCUUUGUAGGAAACAAUUAGGAGAAACAUGUUGAUUCAUCCUCAAGAAAACACGCAAUGGAUAGAAGACGAAAGCACCUGUUAGAUCUUUGGGUGUACAAAAGUAGAAGAUGAAAGCACUUGUCAGAAAAGUAGAAUACUAAAGCAUCUGACAGAAAAGUAGAAUACUAAAGCAUCUGAUAGAUUAAUACUACACGAAUCUGCUUGAUGUACCUGCCCUGUUUGAUGUCCCUGCCUGUCAGAUCACCUGACAGAUUGAAACUGGACAAUGCCUGAUGUCCCUGACCUGCCAGAUUCUUUUGGUGAAGAAGUCUUAUCGUUGUAUAUAUUAAGGUGUUUUAUAUUCGAUUCGGAGUAGAAUACUGACCUGUCAGAUAACCUGACAUAUUUAUUUGGUGAAGAAGUCUUAUCGCUGUAUAUAUUAAGGUGUUCUAUAUUCGAUUCAGAGUAGAAUAUUGCCCUGUCAGAUAACCUGACAUAUUCUUUUGGUGAAAAAGUCUUAUCGUUGUAUAUAUUAAGGUUUCUUUUGGUGAAGUCGUUGUAUAUAUUAAGGUUUUUUUUGGUGAAAAAGUCUCAUCGCUGUAUAUAUUAAGAUGUUCUAUAUUUUGUUUUAUUAUUCUCUGUUCUGGCCAUGUUUUUGUUCAAGUUAUUGGUGCUAUGGAAGGACAACCUGUACUUUUAGUCUCUUUGACCGAUCAUUUCAGGUGAUAUGUUUGAUUUGUUUCUUUUUCUUCUUUUUUAUGCUGGUUAUUCUGUUCUAGUUAGGGUUCGAAUGGGAUUUUUUUAAAAUGAAAUCUCGUCUUCAAUCGCGUGGAAUAAUGGAGUCGAUCUCAUUUGGAGAUUCCAUAGUUGAUCUCCUGGAAGGAACCUUUGAACAGAAGAAUGGAUUGCUAUAUGGAUGGGGAAAAGUCAGAGGCAAUAACAUAUAAGGUGGAGGGGAAAAUAGGGGUUUUUGCAACACUAAGCAUAUUUGGCGAAAUUCCAGUGUGCAACAGUGCAUAGUUUUAGCAGAGCUGCAGAACUGAAUAAGUUGCUUUGUGAGUGCAACUUCACUUCAAUCUGUAUCCAUUCUGGAAUGACCCAGGAAGAAAGAUCACUUGCGUUCGGAUCGCCCGUGAUAGCACCGUGCAUUUUAUCUCGAAACGCAGGGGAUUUAGUUCCUGGAGCUUGUUCAUCAGUGAACAUAUGUAACAGAGAAAGAAAAGCCGACGCACACUGAUUCGCCUAUCAGCUUUAAUGGCUUCCGAAGCUGUUGACUAAUCCCUCGUGAUCUUUAGGAAGGGCAACUGUAGCUUGGCCGCAUGGUUGCCAAUGAAAAGGCUGUUAGGAUUGGGCGCCAUUUGAGGAACAUGGUACAGUUGCAGAGGUCGCGCCUCCCAAGCUCGCAACCACUCUGCACUUCAGUUGCCUUGGCGCACUCCAUGCAAUUUCGCUCGUUGUGCUCGUUUGGAUGCUUGCAUUCUGGC